rnacentral:rRNA from 1 species
UACGUAGGGGGCAAGCGUUGUCCGGAAUCAUUGGGCGUAAAGAGCGUGUAGGCGGCUCGGUAAGUCCGCUGUGAAAGUCCAGGGCUCAACCCUGGAAUGCCGGUGGAAACUGUCGAGCUAGAGUCCGGAAGAGGCGAGUGGAAUUCCUGGUGUAGCGGUGAAAUGCGCAGAUAUCAGGAGGAACACCAAUGGCGAAGGCAGCUCGCUGGGACGGUACUGACGCUGAGACGCGAAAGCGUGGGGAGCAAACAGA